rnacentral:rRNA from 1 species
AUACGGAGGAUGCGAGCGUUAUCCGGAUUUAUUGGGUUUAAAGGGUGCGUAGGCGGCCUUGUAAGUCAGCGGUGAAAUUUUGCAGCUUAACUGUAAAAGUGCCGUUGAUACUGUGAGGCUAGGAUUUGGUUGCUGUGGGUGGAAUGUGUGGUGUAGCGGUGAAAUGCUUAGAGAUCACACAGAAUAUCGAUUGCGAAGGCAGCUCACAAAGCCAAGAUUGACGCUGUGGCACGAAAGUGUGGGGAUCAAACAGGAUUAGAUACCCUGGUAGUCCACACUGUAAACGAUGAUAGCUCGCUGUCGGCGAUAUACAGUCGGUGGCCAAGCGAAAGCGAUAAGUUAUCCACCUGGGGAGUACGACCGCAAGGUUGAAACUCAAAGGAAUUGACGGGG